GAUGAACGCUGGCGGCGUGCCUAAUACAUGCAAGUCGAGCGAACGGACGAGAAGCUUGCUUCUCUGAUGUUAGCGGCGGACGGGUGAGUAACACGUGGAUAACCUACCUAUAAGACUGGGAUAACUUCGGGAAACCGGAGCUAAUACCGGAUGAUAUUUUGAACCGCAUGGUUCAAAAGUGAAAGACGGUCUUGCUGUCACUUAUAGAUGGAUCCGCGCUGCAUUAGCUAGUUGGUAAGGUAACGGCUUACCAAGGCAACGAUGCAUAGCCGACCUGAGAGGGUGAGCUGCCACACUGGAACUGAGACACGGUCCAGACUCCUACGGGAGGCAGCAGUAGGGAAUCUUCCGCAAUGGGCGAAAGCCUGACGGAGCAACGCCGCGUGAGUGAUGAAGGUCUUCGGAUCGUAAAACUCUGUUAUUAGGGAAGAACAUAUGUGUAAGUAACUGUGCACAUCUUGACGGUACCUAAUCAGAAAGCCACGGCUAACUACGUG
rnacentral:rRNA from 1 species